CCUACGGGUGGCAGCAGUGGGGAAUAUUGCGCAAUGGGCGAAAGCCUGAUGCAGCGACGCCGCGUGAGGGAUGAAGGUCUUCGGAUCGUAAACCUCUGUCAGCAGGGAAGCACGGUCACUGUGCUAAUCAGCAGUGAAUUGACGGUACCUGCAAGGGAAGCACCGGCUAACUCCGUGCCAGCAGCCGCGGUAAUACGUAGGGUGCGAGCGUUAAUCGGAAUUACUGGGCGUAAAGCGCUCGUAGGCGGUAUGUCAAGUCAAGGGUGAAAUCCCCGCGCUCAACGUGGGAACUGCCUUUGAAACUGGCAGACUGGAGUGUGUGAGAGGAUAGUGGAAUUCCAGGUGUAGCAGUGAAAUCCGUAGAUAUCUGGAGGAACAUCAGUGGCGAAGGCGACUAUCUGGCACAUAACUGACGCUGAGGAGCGAAAGCGUGGGUAGCAAACAGGAUUAGAUACCCCAGUAGUC
rnacentral:rRNA from 1 species